CUUUUCAAUGAUGAACAACAACCGCCCCAGUCUGAAUUCGGUGACUGAGUGGAUUUUCUGAGGAUUA